AAGCAUGCUGCAAAACGUGAGCCCAACAGGAAGCUGCCUGCAAAUUCAGGUAGCUUUUCUGCAUCUAAAAGAGGUCUUGAAGAUACCUUCAGAGAAAUGCCAGCAAAAGUUGUAGUCAUUUGGGGAAGAAUGAGUCUGGAAAACAAAUACACAGUGGACUAGCACCAAGAGGUUAAUGGCUGUGACUGGCAUGUGAGAAGAGUGAGGAGAAAUUACUUCAGUGGCCCCACAGGAGUUCAGAGCAGAGAACAGGGCAUCAUCAGGUCUGGCACUGUUCUUGAGCACCAAGUCCCUCGUCUACCACCACAGUGACACACCAGAGAACCACAGAAGUGAAGUUUUGCUCCAGGUGAAAAAGGUACUUGAUGACAAGGUCAAAUCUGCUUAUUACCAGU
ensembl:lncRNA